GUGCAGUCUCACUGUCGCGGCCCCAGCCGCAGAGCGCUUCCGCGGGCGCACCGACGCAGGGCCAGAGAUCGGGAGGAUCUCAGCGUGCACUCUCAGUGAUCUGUUAUUACUUUGUCAAUCAAAGCCAAUCAAGCGUCCUCCUGCCCGCCUUUGACCAAGAAGCAAGAGUGUUGAGCCGCAGAACACCAAGUGGAAGAUUAGCAACGGCUGCCACCCCCCUGCAUUUGCCGAUGGAUUAUUAACUUCAGAAAGACACGCUUAGGCAUGUUCUGGAGUAAGAGCCGGUACACUAGGAGUGAACAGGGCAUGAA
rnacentral:lncRNA from 1 species